GCGUGCAAGUGUUUGAACCAGGGUCAGUGUGACGACAAAGGCAAAUGCAUCUGCCCGAAGGGAUUCACUGGAGACAAUUGCCAGAAGGUUGUGUGCACACAUCCCUGGGUGAAAAAGAACAAAGUAUGCGAAUGUAAACCCAGACUAAAUGGACCUAACUGCACAGAAGCAUGCAAUUGCCUGAAUAAUGGUCAGUGUACUGAAGACGGCAUCUGCGUCUGUCCGACCGGAUUCCGCGGAG